UCAAGGGUCAUCUGCAGCUGUUCCAGAAAGCCAGAGUCUCCCUCAUCCCGGGUGAAUGCAGACCUCUGCACUCCCUUCCAACCAGGACUACAUUAUGGAUUCUCCUGAGGAACACAAUCAACCAGCCAAGACUAAAGCCACAUCUGUGUCUAUGUCUACAUCCACACAUACAAAUAAACAUAUAACAAGGAGUUGGGUUAUGUGAUUAUGGAAGCUGAGAAGUCUCGUGAUGUCUGUCUGCAAAGAGAAGACCCUGGGAGGCAGUAGUACUGUGGCAAGAAGAUGAAGAUGUAGAACUCUCAGCUCCUCCUAUACUU